AUUCAGCUGAUGAGUCCUAAGAUGGGACGAAAUGCACGUUCUGGAU
rfam:Schistosoma mansoni strain Puerto Rico chromosome 1, complete genome